rnacentral:lncRNA from 13 species
CUCAGCUUCUCAAAGUACUAGGAUUAUAGGUGUGAGCUACUGCACCUGGCAUUAAGUUUGCACUUUUUAAAGUCAUCUGCCAUCCCCCUCCAUUAGACUAUAAACUCUGUAAGGGCAGAAAUUUUUUUCACCUGGUACAGACAAGGAAGGAUUCCCAGAAUAAAGAGAUUGUUAUUUUCACCUCUGUAUCUUCCAGUGCUGCAGGCACAGUAGGUGCUUAAUAAAUGGUAUAGAAUGAAUGAAUAAAUGAAACAGAGAACAGAGGGGAUAGGGAUGAACUUUGGACAUGGAAGACAGAGAUGGCCUCCCUGAGGAUAUAAGAUUGUGGGACAUCAAUCAUGAGGAUGCAUCCUUGAGAUAAUAUGGAAGACACAUGCAUGGAGUGCCUCCUGCUUCCAGUCCCUUGGGGACACCUUCCUUGUCCCCUCCCCAGGUCAUGGCUGCGGUUAUACACACUCAUAGUAUCCUGCAGUUUUCCUCCUUAAUGUGGUGUAGGUACUUGGAUAAUUAUUUUUAAAUGUCUGUUUUGGCCAGGCACAGUGGCUCACACCUGUAAUCCCAACACUUUGGGAGACCAAGGCGGGCAGAUUACACGAGGUCUGGAGUUCAAGAUGAGUCUGACCAACAUGGAGAAACCCCGUCCCUACUAAAAAUACAAUAUUAGUUGGGCGUGGUGGCGCAUGCCUGUAACCCAGCUACUCGGGAGGCUGAGGCAGAAGAAUUGCUUGAACCCGGGAGGCAAAGGUUGCAGUGAGCCGAGAUCGCACCAUUUCACCCCAACCUGGGGCAACAAGAGCAAAGCGCUGUAUCCAAAAAAAAAAAAAAAAGUUUGUUUCUCCUAAUACUAUAAUCCCCACAAGGAUAAAAGAGAAAGUACUUGGAGAAUUCAAGAAAUGAAACCAUGACCGACGGGCUGCUACUCCAGUGUGUGAAACGUCACUUCCUCAGGGACACCUUCCUUGCCCCCUCCCCAGGCUGUGACUAUGGCUACACACACACAGAGCACCUUGCACUUUUCCUGCUUAACGUCGUCAGGGGACAGCACAGCAUGAAGGUCCUCACAAGAUGCUGGUGCCAUGCUUUUGGACUUCCCAGUCUCCAGAACUGCGGAAAGCUACAUCAGUCUCCUGAAGGACCUGAGGUCCAGGAAUAUUGGGAACAGUGGUGCUGAAAAUUCUAGCAAUUGUUAUCUCGAUUCCCAUCACGACAGACCUAGAAUCUACCUCCUACUACAUUCUAGAGUCACUCUCAGAUGCACUUACAAGGGUCCUGAACAGAGCGAGUAUCUUUUGGAACAUUUUUGCACUGGUGAAAAGUUGUUCUGCUUUCGUAGGGCUUUGUGCCAUGAAGUCAGUGAAUAUGCCAAUCCACUGUGCCUGGUUCAGCAGCAGGGGUUGUCUGCUCCCACAGUACCUGCUGAGCAUGCGUCAAUCCUCUUUCAGUUGAAUAUAAUUCUUAGCCACAUUAUCUUGUCUAAUAGAAGCAAAAAGCAACCAGAAAGAUUUCCUGAGGAAUUGCUGGCACAUGCAAAUGGAAACUGCUCAUUUUAAUUUGGUUGUCAUGACGUUUCUUCAGUUACCUCAUUGACGGGAAUCAUCACACUUCCUUACACUGUUUUCAGCCGUAUUGUCUGGAAAACACAGACUUGUUUUCUUAUUUGGAUAGCCUAAGAAAAAACCAUGAACAAGUCUGGAUGUUAUGGUUCUCCCGAGUGUUGCACAGAUGCAGAAAAUGUCACUUGAAGCUUUAACCUAUCAAGAGUAUAAUUGAAUGGCAGUCAAACAUUCACUGGGUUUAUUUCUUUGCCAAAGAGUC